CCGAGUCCAGUGCGACCGCGCCACAAAGGACGAGUGGCUCUUCCCAUGCUGGUACUGAUCCCAUUGCGGCCGCACCAACUGCCCCAGCUCCGGCGCAUGUCCCUCCCGCCAGCUUGUUCAGCUUGCAUAGAGUGCCGGAGGACCAGACAGGGGCUAGCAAGGAGGCAAUGAUCCAAGCGGAGCUGAUGACCCAGUGCCUGAAGGAGGUGUACGAUGCCAACAAGAGAACUUGCGAGCUCGGAGCUCAUUAUGUGUCACUGGAGAAGGAGGAGAACCAACUCCGACUGGAUCUGAAGCCCAUGCGCAGGCGGAGGUGCGGACCAUGAGAGAAACUAUGAAGCAGGCCCUUGUCGACAAGGACAACGAUCUGGUGGGAGCACAGAAGGUGGCGAGAGAGAAAACCAAGGCUGCCAAAGAGAAGUUGGCCGCAAUCGAGAAGCUUGAGGAGGAGAACAAAUCGCUGAAGACUGCUGCUGAGGAGGCGAAGAAGGAGAUCACCGAGCUCAAAAAGCGACAAGCCGAGUGGGAUGGCAAGUUCAAGACUCAAGCGAGUGCUUUCGAGCAGGAGAAGAAGACUUUGAGCGAGAAGAUCGCCCAGC